rnacentral:rRNA from 1 species
GUGCUCCCCCGCCAAUUCCUUUAAGUUUCAGCCUUGCGGCCGUACUUCCCAGGUGGCUCGCUUCACGGCUUCCCUGCGGCACCAGACACGGACGCGCCAUGCCUGACACCUAGCGAGCAUCGUUUACGGCUGGGACUACCCGGGUAUCUAAUCCGGUUCGUGCCCCCAGCUUUCGUCCCUCACCGUCGAACCCGUUCUGGUAAGACGCCUUCGCCACAGGUGGUCCCACAGGGAUUACAAGAUUUCACUCCUACCCCUGUAGUACCUCUUACCUCUCCCGGUUCCAAGCCUGGCAGUAUCCCCCGAAAGCCUAACGGUUGAGCCGUCAGAUUUCCCGGAGGACUGACCAAACCGGCUACGGACCCUUUAGACCCAAUAAUCACGAUCACCACUCGGGCCGCCGGUGUUACCGCGGCGGCUGGCACCGGUCUUGCCCGGCCCUUGCUGACAGGUGUAUUUUACACACCCGGACAGCCAGCAUAUGAUGCUGGCACUCGGUGUCCCCUUAUCACGGUUUCCCGCAUUGUAAAGUUUUCGCGCCUGCUGCGCCCCGUAGGGGCUGGAUUCAUGUCUCAGAAUCCAUCUCCGGGCUCUUGCUCUCACAACCCGUACCCGUUGUUGGCUAGUAGGUACAUUACACCCACUACUACCUGAUAGGCCGCAGACCCAUCCUUGGGCAGACGAAUCCAUUUUACGCAUAAAGCAUUCCAGCAUAUGUGCGUUAUCCGGAAUUAUCCCCAGUUUCCCGGGGUUAUGCCGGACCCAAGGGCAGGUUAUCCACGUGUUACUGAGCCGU